rnacentral:rRNA from 1 species
UACGUAGGGUCCGAGCGUUGUCCGGAAUUACUGGGCGUAAAGAGCGCGCAGGCGGUCGUUCAAGUCGCGUGUGAAAGCCCCCGGCUCAACUGGGGAGGGUCACGCGAUACUGAUCGACUCGAAGGCAGGAGAGGGAAGUGGAAUUCCCGGUGUAGUGGUGAAAUGCGUAGAUAUCAGGAGGAACACCGGUGGCGAAGGCGGGUCUCUGGGAAGUAACUGACGCUGAGAAGCGAAAGCAUGGGUAGCAAACAGG